rnacentral:antisense_RNA from 1 species
GCAUGCAUUGCCUUGGUGACCAGGGAAGUCACCCCACGGCUAUGGGGAAAUUAGCCUGAGACUUAGCUUUCAUUAUCACUGUCUCCCAGGGUGUGCUUGUCAAAGAGAUACUCUGCCAAGCCAGAUUCGGGUGCUCCCAUCUUGCGCAAGUUGGUCACGUGGUCACCCAAUUCUUUGAUGGCUUUCACCUGCUCAUUCAGGGCACUAAUAUACACAUGAUGAUACUUAAUUCUCUCAGAAAACUUUGGCAAAGACACUGUCUACAUCUUGAAGGCAAGGAAUCUGAAUCUUGAAGAGAUUAAAUGAAUUGUCCAAAGUCACGUGGGGGUUUGGGAGAAGGAAAAUCAUGAACACACAUUCUUCUACUCUGGAGAAGUGGGGAAGGUGACCUGGGAAACCAUCUGAAAGGGAGCAGGAUGGAUUCUAUAAAAUAUAGAGUGUUCAAUGAAAACAACCUGAUGCUCAUCCCAGUACCAUCACAUUUUUCUAGCUGCAUAUCCUUAGGCAUGAGGCUGAAGCCAGGAAAUGACCCAACAUUGAAGGUAAUCUGGGCACUGAAGGUACUAAAAUUCCCAGGAUUUUUCAAGAAAAUGUCGAAUGUGCUGCCACGUAUGUUGGAUGCACAUCGAUCCCCUCCCACAAGGAAAAUCACGACUGAAGAUCAUCUCCUUGAAGAAGAUGUCGUAUUGGGAGCAGUGUUUUUCCCUGUUGCUGACAGGUUAGACUUGCACAGGCAUCAGUACUGAGGUAUGAGACACAGCCCAUUAUAUAUGGCUUCUAUCUCUGCACUGUGUCUCCUCCGUUCAUGCAUCAAUCACAUCAGCUCAGAGAUUGCCUAAUGUCAGCUGGCCUUGUCAUUUUGUC